CUGCGGCCCGAAAGAUGCUACUCGCCUCUAACCCUAAUUUUGAUCGAUCGCUUGAAAGCAUUUCGUUCAUCCUUUUCUGCAGCGGGUAUGACGCCUGCGAUUCCUUUAUCUCGAUCUCAUACUCUCUUUCUAUCUCUUGAGAUAAUCUGAUGCGUGUUGUUAUGGCUAUUUCGAGAAUCUUCUUCUAUGACUUGAAGUCAUGCAAAUGCUCUUACGUCGUCGAGCCAAGGCUACUGCGGUUCUGGGAUGCGAGCAACGUCAAACGCGGUGGUGAGCUGAUGUGGAUCGAUACGCUGCUUAUGGACGUGAAUAUUUAGUCUCUCUGUCCGGCCAGGUUACAUGGGGCUCUCCCUCUAACCCUAACUCCGCUCGAUCGAAGAAUUUGAUAUCGUCUCCCCUCUUCGUGCGGCCGCCAUGACGUCUGAGCUUCGAUAUCUGAAACGGCCUGAGUUAUGAAAUUCGCUAUCUAAUGGUCCGAGUUAUGGUUUUUGCGUGUUCAAUCAUCAUAAGCUCUUUUUUUCUCUCUCGAUAGUUUAAUUUUCUCUCUUUAUCAAUCUGCUAUUUUUCAUGGAUUGAUUUUGUUUGUUAUGCAUUUCUAAACUAUUUUGAUGUAUUUUCCCAGUGUUUCUACCAUGCUUUGACUUAAAUCUUCAGGGCUCUCAUUCCUAAACAGUGGCUCGAUUCCAUUUUUCUUGUGGUGACGCUGACUAUCACCAUGAGACAGUUGAUAAUCUGAAAAUUGCUGCUGGCCACUGUAGGCAAUUUGUGGUGAUCCGUCUUCUUCGAUAAUGGAAGGCUCACAAUGUAAUAAAGGAGGGAUUUUAUAAUGGUAACAUGGUCUUGCUUGACGAGAAGGAUCCAUCACCACACAUAAGCUUAACACUUUCAAGAUCUAUUGAGGGGGAGCAUCAACCGUGACAUUGAUUUUCCGGAUGUUUUUGGUCAGGUGAUGAGUAUCAACCUUUUGUAACAAUGAAAGCCAGUCUAUUCAGCUUCUGAUGUUAACAAUACCAAUGGACAGGGAAACUACGGUUUAUGUCAGCAUUAUUUAUUUGAUAGCUAAUCUACUUCAUGAAAGGUAAGUAUUCUUGCGUGUUGAGCCAAAUGUGAUGAAUACAACCAACAUCUAUACGAAAUUAGUUGGAGAUGAACAUAAAUCAGCUCUUAUCUGUCAGUUUAAUUACAUAAAGUUGUCAGUUAAAAUCCUUGCCUACUGUCUUAUGCCAGGUCGCUUACUUCUGAAAGAAAUUUCAGAUUAUGCUUUUAUUUAAAUACUACAUUAAAAACACAUGUUAUGUAGAGCUCAGGAAGGCCUCUCUUCAGCUUCUGCCAAGUAUGGCAGGAUUAAGAAACUUGAAUCUGUCGCUCUCUCUGAGUGGUUCCUACAUAUUUUACUUAUUGUACAUAUCACCAUGAAUGAGACUAGACUCACAAUAGUUUUGUAGGUAGAGUGGUGAGGACCAUCCAAAUGAUGAUAUGACAGGGGCUGUUAAUCCCUCCAUGGACUCAAACUCAAUUGUAAACAAUAUUGGUCCAGAUAACACCAACCAGUGUGAUACUGCUGCAACAAUCGAAGGCUGUUCAUAAGUGUCUGAACCAAUUCCUCUGCAAAUUGAUCCACUGGUAAACACGAAGAGGAAACAACUGAUGGUGGCAAGGGUCCAAAUCUUAAGAAGCCCCCAAAUGCAUGAUCACUCCAACGAUGGAGACAAGCGAAAAAAAUCCCCAAUUCCAUUUCCGUUUCCUGGGUUUUUAUGCUUCACUCAGUAAUGUUGUUGUCUUUUUUAGUUAUCCAGUUCUGGUUUUCCUUAGUUUAAGUAUAAUUGGUACACCUGGUAAUUUUAGUAUUUAUGUUGUGGUCCUGAAUUUUUUUUAUUAACCAGAAUUUUGUUUUCAUAUUGUUCUGUUAUUAUUUUGGAAACAGUCAAAAUAUAUAUAGCAACAAUAAACAGAUUUAAUU